GACGAACGCUGGCGGCGUGCUUAACACAUGCAAGUCGAGCGGUAAGGCCCUUUCGGGGGUACACGAGCGGCGAACGGGUGAGUAACACGUGGGUGACCUGCCCUCAGCUCUGGGAUAAAGCCUGGGAAACCGGGUCUAAUACUGGAUAUGACUCCAUGACGCAUGUUGUGGGGUGGAAAGCCUUGUGCGGCUGAGGAUGGGCCCGCGGCCUAUCAGCUUGUUGGUGGGGUGAUGGCCUACCAAGGCGACGACGGGUAGCCGGCCUGAGAGGGCGACCGGCCACACUGGGACUGAGACGCGGCCCAGACUCCUACGGGAGGCAGCAGUGGGGAAUCUUGCGCAAUGGGCGAAAGCCUGACGCAGCGACGCCGCGUGAGGGAUGACGGCC
rnacentral:rRNA from 1 species